UACGUAGGCAGCAAGCGUUGUUCGGAGUUACUGGGCGUAAAGUGUGUGUAGGCGGUUGUUUAAGUUUGGUGUGAAAUCUCCCGGCUCAACUGGGAGGGUGCGCCGAAUACUGAAUGACUCGAGUACGGGAGAGGAAAGUGGAAUUCCUGGUGUAGCGGUGAAAUGCGUAGAUAUCAGGAGGAACACCGGGGGUGUAGACGGCUUUCUGGACCGUAACUGACGCUGAGACACGAAAGCGUGGGUAGCAAACAGG
rnacentral:rRNA from 1 species